rnacentral:rRNA from 1 species
UACAGAGGUCUCAAGCGUUGUUCGGAUUCAUUGGGCGUAAAGGGUGCGUAGGCGGCGCGGUAAGUCGGGUGUGAAAUCUUGGAGCUUAACUCCGAAACUGCAUUCGAUACUGCCGUGCUUGAGGACUGGAGAGGAGACUGGAAUUUACGGUGUAGCGGUGAAAUGCGUAGAUAUCAAGAGGAACACCAGUGGCGAAGGCGAGUCCCUGGACAAUACCUGACACUGAGGCACGAAAGCCAAGGGAGCAAACAGG